CCUACGGGAGGCAGCAGUGAGGAAUAUUGGUCAAUGGACGAGAGUCUGAACCAGCCACGUAGCGUGAAGGAUGACUGCCCUAGGGGUUGUAAACUUCUUUUAUAUGGGAAUAAAAUGUUCCACGUGUGGGAUUUUGUAUGUACCAUAUGAAUAAGGAUCGGCUAACUCCGUGCCAGCAGCCGCGGUAAUACGGAGGAUCCGAGCGUUAUCCGGAUUUAUUGGGUUUAAAGGGAGCGUAGGUGGAUUGUUAAGUCAGUUGUGAAAGUUUGCGGCUCAACCGUAAAAUUGCAGUUGAAACUGGCAGUCUUGAGUACAGUAGAGGUGGGCGGAAUUCGUGGUGUAGCGGUGAAAUGCUUAGAUAUCACGAAGAAUUCCGAUUGCGAAGGCAGUUCACUGGACUGCAACUGACACUGAGGCUCGAAAGUGUGGGUAUCAAACAGGAUUAGAUACCCUAGUAGUC
rnacentral:rRNA from 1 species